rnacentral:tRNA from 1 species
CAGUAAGUAGCUCAAGUGGUGGAGCAUCUGGUUUGGGACCGGAAGGUUAUGAGUUCAAGUCUCAUCUUACUGAUCU